AACUGACACACUGUCAUAUGCACAGCUUUGGCCUGUGCAAAUAAGGCAAGAAAAAUUCAAGGUUUGGGAAGCAGAAUCUGUCUCUUGAUGGGAACCACUAUAAAAUAGUGGUUUUAAAAUAAAAAAGACAAAUAUUUUAAAAUUUCUUCUUGUAUAAGACACAGUUUUGCUCUUGUCACCCAGGUUGGAGAGCAAUGGCAUGACCUGAGCUCGCUGCAACCUCUGCUUUCCAGGUUCAAACGAUUCUCCUCCUUCAGCCUCCAGAGAAGCUGGGAUUAUAGGCACAUACCACCAUGCCUGGCUAAUUUUUUCUAUUUUUAAUAGAGACGUGUUUCCCCAUGUUGGCCAGGCUGGUCUCAAACUUCUGACCUCAGGUGAUCCACCCACCUUCGCCUCCCAAAGUGCUGGGAUUACAGGUGUGAGCCACUGUGCCUGGCCAAAAAAAAAUGUGUGACUUAUGCAGUCAAUUUUAUUAUGCCUUUUCUAGCAGAUGAGGCUUAUAUAACUGCCCCAAAGCCACUAAGAAGUUGGCUGGGACUCAAGAUCAAUUUUGCCUGAAAGCAAGAAACAAUGGUACCAACCAUGUGCCAUAAAACUUAUACUUCCACAAAAAAUAUAUAUAAAGCAUCUUGGUUUAAAAAUCUAUAAACUUAUACAGUUGGAAGCUAAAAAAUAAACAGUUGGAAGACUUAAUGCAUAUUCUAUCUUUUAUAUAAUAUGGUAAAUGUUAAUUUCCACAAAGCAAAUGGCUAUAACAAAAUCCAAGCACCCUUUUCCUCUGAGUCAUGGCUUCUGGAAGAUGAGGCUGUGCAUAAAGAUGGGGCUGCAUACCUCUCCUGAGUCCCAAAACAGAUCCAUCAACACAGCCACUUUCAGCUCCCCAGGGGGUACCCCAAGAAUCACAUUCUGCUGCUAUUACACUGCCACAACUGAGGAGCCCACUGCAUAGCCAGCCCCAGGACUAAGGCAGAGUCAGUGAGCCCUGAGGGACAUGAAAAACACAACGUGUGUGAUAAGAUAUUAACAAAUUAGACUUUACCAAAAAAUUUAAAAACUUUAAAUUUUCAAAAUACAAGCCAUAGACUGGGAGGAAAUACUCGCAAAACAUGUAUUUGAUAAGAGACAUGUUUCCAGAGUGUAUAAGAAAAAAACUGAUUUUAAAAACUGACAAAAGAUUUGAACAGGCCUCACCAAGGUGUUACAGGAAAGGGGUCCUGAUAUGGACCCCAAAAGAAGGUUCUUGGUUGUCCAGCAAGAAUAUGGGGCGAGUCCAUAGAGUAAAGUGAGAGCAAGUUUAUUAGAAAAGUAAAGGAAUGAAGACUGGCUGUACCACAGGCGGAGAUGUGACAUGAGUUGUUCUACUGACUAUACUUAUUUCUUGAUUGUAUGCUCAAUGGAAGGCGGAUUAUUUGUGAGUUUACCUGAAUGAGGAAGAUUCCUCCCCCUUUUAGAUUAUAUAGAGUAACUUGGCAUUUGCAAACUGUCAUGGUGCUGCUGGGAGUGUCUUUUAGCAUGCUAAUGUAUUAUAAUUAGCAUAUAAUGAGCAGUGAGGAUGACC
ensembl:lncRNA